rnacentral:lncRNA from 1 species
UGACGCCCCACUUCUAAGGGGGUCAUCUAUUUUAGGACUAUUUUAGUCCUAACAUGAUUAACUCUCUUAACCUCUUGAAUUUAAUUACCAUUCAAAAUGUUAUAGCCAGGAUAAGAGUUUUAGCCCUGUUAUAUCUUAUAAAUAGGACUAACUAGGAUAUCACAUUCUCUCCCCUCCUUUAAGCCCUAACGUUUUCAUAAGGCUUAGACUAACAAGUAUUAAAUUAUAUAAGACUCAUCUCGCUAGCUUUAACUGAUAUUUUGGGGGAGUCGCACUCUACCCACAACAUCAACACCAUGAGAGCCUCGCUUUUUUCCUUAUAUAAUCUGGCUUAGUCGAGACUCAUCUCACACUUUCGGCUGAUAAUUGGCUCUGAUAUCAAUUGUGAUACACCACUUCUCAGAAGACCACCCAUCUUAGGACUACUCUAAUCCUAACACACUUAAUUCUCUUAACCUUUUGAGUCUAGUCACCGUCCAAAAUAAUAUAACCAGAUUAAAAAUUUUAGUUCUAUUAUAUCUCACAUAUAGAACUUACUGAAAACUCACAGAGUAUACGUAAAUUUUACACCUACACCAUAUAUGUGCAUGUAGCACUUUUUUUUACUUUACUAACAUAAACUUGCAUUACCAACCGUCCCUAGAGCAAGUGGCAAAAGGCUUUGUGGUUGGUACCCGAGACCCAAUUUCGAAUCCUAGUUGAUUCACAUUUCUAGCUAAAUUUAUUUCUAAAUGAAAUAAACGAAACGGAUAGCAUACUACCUAUCUCUCUCUCAAAAAAAAAAAAAAAAAAAAAAACAUAUCUUGCACUUCAUACACACUGGUUUUCAUUCUCAUCCCCUUACUUUUACAGCCGAAAGAGAUAGGUCUGGACAAAAAAAAAAGGGUAUUAAUUCCGAAUCUAUUGGCUCCUCUAGUUUCCAUUUUUUAAGAAAAGGGCAUCCAAUGCGCGAUUAUAAUCCAUGUAUAAAGUUUUUUUUUUUAAAAAAAACAAUACAUUAUUUACUUUAUUUAUUUAGUAAAUAAAUUUGGCUAUAGAAAUUAAGACAAUACAGCCUCGAAAAGCUGUUUUAUUGCGCUACACUACUAUCGAUAGGCCCAACUGCAGAAACCGAACCAAACAGACUCUAAAUGGUAUUCCAAAUCUGUUGGCUCCCUAUUCUUGAGACAGGACGGAUUGCGUAAUCAGACCAGCUGGCAUUUGAUUCCUUCGUACUACAAAGUAUAUAUCUUAUCUUAUCUCAUUAAGAUCUCUCUUAAACAAAACUACACGUUUUUGAUCACGAAUUAUUUCAAUAACAUCUUCAUUAACAUAAUUCUUCUCGGGUUUACAUGCAUUAUGAACAGCGCAAAAUGUCAACUAAUUUUACCACAAUUCGACAUGCAUAGCCUAACAACAAGUAGUCAAACUCCCCAUUUUUUCCCUCCUCCUAUCUUUUUCACUUCCGUGCAAUUUAUACGUGUUCCAUUAGUUGCCUCCUUUUUAUUUCUUCUUAUGUUGCUUCUUUUGCAACAUGAUCAGGUAAUUGUUACCCAUCCCCGGCCGGUUCCGCGCGCCGCCGAAGAAAUUUGAUCUCUCUUGAAGAAUGAAUGCCUGCACGUCUAAUGGGAGGAAAGCUAAAGGACGGAUUCUGAUCAGAAACGCACUGACAAAAUAAUGAUUGGUGAAUGACUGAGACUACCUGUUCAUUUUUAAUUUGUUAGUACGUCCUUCAUAAAUAAGACCCGCACUUUGAAAUUGAAAACACCAGUGAGGUGGUGAUAAGAUUGCUAUGUACGUGCGUACCUUCUAACUUCUUUCUCCUCUCUUUGUUUCUGCUCUUACACUGGUGGAAUCGCACGGAAGUAUGUGAUGAUGUACGUCCGUGUCUUCGAUACGUAGAGGGGGGAAGUUAUGAGGGGGCCGAAGAGGCGCCGAGAGCUAGGAAGGCAAGGCACAGCAUCAAGCCUAAGGGGAUUAGGAGGAAGAGCGACGGCGGCGGCGGUAGCGGCGGAAGCACAAGCGGGAGGAAAACGAGGAACGCCGCGAGCACCACCAGCAACACCAGUGCACCCUCAUUAGCCAUCAAAAUGCUUCAUAAAUUUCAUCAACAAGAAACCCAGGAGAGCCUCAUCAAUAUGUUCAUAUACACCAGAUGCCAAAUUAGAAUACAGAGCUCUCUAUGUAUUCGUUCACUUGUGUCAUGUAAAUGUGAUAUAUAUACAUGGCAACCCUAAAGCAGUCACGUGCCUUGCAUGGGCCCGCCUGUUUGAUAUCGAGGCUUAUUAUACCAGUAAGAGAAAUAAAAUUAUAACGAAAUUAUAUUGAAAUAUACUUCUCUAUUUUUUUUCGUGAGACUGUAAAAUUUAUAUUAUAAUUGAUUUAUGUUGAUUUGCAGAACUUGAUAUUACAUACGAAAGAGUAAAAAAUUUUUAUUUUUUGACUGCACGUAUUGUAAGUUUUCGACAAUCUGAAAUAAAGUUGUGAAUGAAUGAGACAACACUAAAUGAGAAUCUUGGGAUAAAAAGAAGGGGGGAAUCUUAGUGUUGGAGAGAAAAUGGUUCUAUGAAGUUUUGUGGUUAAUUUCAGAAUAAAAGUGAAAAAAAAAAAGGAACCAUUGGAAAUCAUUAAACAGAUCUAAAUGGUUAUUCCAGGUGUGACCAGUUAUGUUCUUUCCAGUUGUGAUCAGAGGUCAAAUUGGUAUGCAUAAUAUAUUAAUAUGUAUGUUUUAUACAUGUAGAAUCUAUUAUCUUUGAAUUGACUCAUAGAAUUUGCUAAGAUUUAUAUAUAGAGCACACAAAAGAGCGAUCCCUCUUCUUUAUUAUUUUCUUAUAUUUUCAAAUGAAAAUUUUCACUAAUAAAAGAUUAACUAUCAAUCUAUGUUAAGAUUAUAGUUCGCCCUAUGCCUCGAUAGUUUUCUUAACUAUACACAUCCACCAUUUAAUGUCGCAAAUUUUUGUUAUUACAUGGUACGACUGAUUUGAUCUCUACUAAAUAUAUCGAUACGACCAAUUUAGCAUUAAAGUUUUUGAAAAAAACGUGACUCAACCAAGUUGAGUUGAAUAUUUCAUUGAGUUCGGCAACUUUUAUAACCGGUGCGAGAAAUUUUUAAAUGGUCAUAAUUUUUCGCUCGAAUAUUUGAUUUCACCGUAUGACUCUAAUUAGAGAAACACUUUUUGAUAUUUAUGCGUUAAAUACCAAAACCAUUCCAGUCAAGUUUGGAACCCUGCUUCAAUUAUUUGGUCUCCGUUCUUCACAUUUUUAGGUUAUUUUCGAAAAGUUCUAUAAUUUUUAAUUUUUAGUCCGAUUAUUUGAUUAUUUCUAAUCUGAUUAGAUUUCCGGCAUCGCCACUAUUCUUUAGAGUUGAUUAGUAAUAUAUUCGUCUUUAUAAAAGAAGUGAUUCUUUGUGUAUAGAUUAUUUUUUCCCGUUCUUGUACUUCUUAUCUCUCAAUGCGGCUUAAACAUGUGUCACAUGCCAACGAAAAUAAUAAUAUACUCGCUAGACAGUCAUUUAUUUUGGCUAAUCAAGCGUUAUUUAUUGCUUGGAUAUUCACAAAUACCCGAGCCUCAAACAUAAAUAAUGAAAUCGAAAUAACAACAUCAGCAUUAACACUGACCGUUCCUACAGCAAGCGGCAAAAGACUUGAUGGUUGGCACCUGAGGUAUCAAGUUCGAAUCCUAAUUAAUUCACAUUUCCAACUAAGUUUAUUUCUAAAUAAAAUAAACGAAGCGGAUAGUGUACUAUCUAUCUCUUAAAAAAAAAAAAAAAAACAACAACAACAACAGAUCGGCCACCCCGGCCAUUCUUAGCACAAGUGGCAAAGAAUUUGAUGGUUGAUACUUAGAUCUCAAAUUCAAAUCCUAAUUGUUUCAUAUUUUUAACUAAAUUUUUUUCUAAAUAAAAUAAAUAGAACGCCUAUCUCUUUAAAAAACAACAACAACAACAACAGCAGCUGCAGCAACAGCACCGUGCGUGUGCAGUACUGUCCUAUUUUGAAGGUUCAAUGCACCCAAUAUAUAAUGCGAGUGUUUUCUAAAAGCAAGCAAGUUGUGGUCUCACCGUCUCAGUAGGGCUUUUCGCACGCCUCCCGAAGCGCUUUUCCCAAAAGCCCUAACAUUUGCUUGGAAACCGUAACACCUCUUAUUAUUAUUAUUAUUAUUAUUAUUAUUAUUAUUCCUUCUGCUGCUGGUAUCCUAAUGGUGGUUUUCAUUUUUCCAAGGAGGAAAAAAAAAUAAAUUACAAAAAAUCUCUAUAUAAAUAUUUAUUUUUUAUUUUUUUUUCUGAUUUUAAAAUUUUAUUUUUUGUUUCUUAAAAAUUUUUAGAAAUAUUUUUAGAGAAGCACGGUGUUAAUGAAGAGUAAAAAUUGUUUAUUAAAAAAAUAAUUUUUCAAUAUAUUUUUAUUAUCUUAAAGGAUAUUUUCUGUAUAAAACUAUAAAUUAUAAAAAUUUGACGGAAUAGUAAUGAAAAGCUGACGUAGGGGGGCUAAAUAUAAUAAUUUGAAAUGUUAAGAAAGUAAAAUAUAGAUUUUUAAAAGUUUGAAAAGAAAAAUAAAAAAAUGAAUAUUUACUUGAGAGUUUUCUAUAAUUUAGCAAAAAAAAAAAUGCUAAUUGCGAAUUAUUGUUUAAAAUAUAAAAUUAUAAUUAUUUUAGGCUUUGAUGCAUUAAGAAUAUUAAAUCCGUAUGGUCUAAAUGAUUGAUUGUUCAUAAAGUAAACUACAACUUUUAAAACUUGGUCGAAAUUUAAUAGUUUGAGAAUUUUUGUUUCUACGUCCCGUUUUCUUUUUAUGGCCCACCAUAUUUUAUUAUUUUUUUUUUAGAGAUAGAUAGUAUGCUACCACUUCGUAUAUUUCAUUUAAAAAUAAAUUUAGCUGAAAAUGUGAAUCAACUAGGAUUCGAAUUUAGAAUUUCGGAUACCAACCACCAAGUCCUUUGACACUUUGCUCUAGGGACGGUCGGUUAUAUUUAUAUAUAUUCACAUUUGAUUAAAAUACAGUACUCUCCUAUCAACAUACUUUUUCAAUAGUGUUAUAAAUUCGCAGAAUUAAGUAUGACAACAUUAAGAUUUUUCUAGAGCUUCUUAUAAUCAUUAUUCUGAAAAGUCCAACCGGUAAAAAGAGAAUACGCAAUACGCUUAAAACAUACAGAUACUACACCCAUAUAUUUCUUGAUUCCGACUUAGCCCAAGCUGUGAGUUACGUGCGUGAUAUUUUGAGCUUCAAAAUUUUAACUUCUUAUGACUUUUGCUCGACCUUUGUAAAUUAACACAACUAGUUUCUAUAAUACAAUAGUUAUUGAAUGAAUGGUGGGGUGUAGCUACUUUGAAAGUAAUGGUGUGAUAAUAAUUAAAAAGUUAUAUCAUUAUUAGAUUAACAAUAAAUCAUCAUUCAGCCAAUUAAAUUAUACUGUAAAAUAUAUUUUUUAAAAAAAUAUAUAUUUACUUGAAAAAAUGAAACACUAAUUUUUUUUUCUUUUUUUUUAAAGCUUGACCUGGUUUCCUUAAGCCAGCUAAUGCAAAGGUACAUACGGGAAAGCCACAAAAACAGUACUAGAUAGUAGAGCACACAUGCUUGUGUUUAUCUCACAGGACACUUAAUUUGUUCUUUUGAUACAGAUGCAUUGAACCUUUCUUGGUACACCUCUCUCUCAUCUUUGGCCCAAACCCCAGCUGGUUUUAAUGACCACAUUUCAAGGACUUGAAUAUAUAUAUAUAUAUAUAUAGAGAGAGAGAGUUGAGCUAGAAUACUCUCAACGCACCAAUGAGGUGGUGCUUUUGAAUUUUUAACCAUUCGAUGGAGGAAUGUAAGAUUGUGAUGAUGGUGGUAGGUGGUAGUAGGUGGUGAUAGGUGGAAUAGUAUUUGAUCCAAAGGCUAUUAAUAAUGAAGGAGUAGAUCCAAGGGUUAGAAAUCUAAAAGCACCAAUGGGGUGAUACUUUUAAAAGUAUUCUAGCUCAAUUAUAUAUAUAUAUAUACAGAGUCCGGCUGCAAUACUAUCGAUAGCACCAAGCGUUUGAUGCUAUCAAGUUUUUCGCCGUUAGAUUUAACCUUUUGACUAUUUUACCCGUUAGAUUAUACUAUCAAACCAAUAACUCACUCAACCCUAGGGGACCCAUAUCAUUCUAACCGUACAUUGUUUUAAUCCAAAUGCUGAAAACCUAAUAGCACCAAUAGCUUGGUGCUAUUGAUAGUAUUCCAGUCUAGUUCUAUAUAUAGAGUCCGGCUACGAUACUAUCGCUAGCACCAAGCGUUUGAUGCUAUCAAUAGAAUUAAGCUAAAAUACUUUUAAAAGUAUCACCCCCUUGGUGCUUCUAGGUUUCUAGCCCUUGAAUCUACUCCUUGAUUACUAAUAAUCAUUGGAUUAAACACUAUUUCACCUACCACCGCCUACCACCACCUACUACCAAUAUCCUAACCUUACAUUUCUCCAUCCAAGGGUUGAAAACUCAAAAGCACCAACCUCUUGGUGCUCUUGGUGCUUUUGAGAGUAUUCUAGCUGAACUAUAUAUAUAUAUAUAUAUAUAUAUAUAUAGUACGUCUUUCGUACUUUCGAAAGUAUAUAUGGAAACCUCCGUGCUUAUAAGUUGUUUUCGAUGAUAUGAUAUCCGAUUCGACGAUCAGCUCCGUUAAGUAUAAUCUACCUUAUUGGAACUAUCUAGAAACCAAAUUUUAUAAUUUGUUGACAUCAUUUACCAAGCGAUCAAAAAGUCUCAAAAAUGACUAUUUUAAUGGCCGAUAUGGUACGUUUUUAAGUUCAACGGUGUAUAAGUAUCCAAAUUACAUAAAAUAUUCUACUUAAUAUUAAUAGCAAGAUUAAUACUUUCAAUUUGAAUUUUGAGUCAUUUAUCACUAUUUUUUAUGAGAUUUUUAUUUUCAGCUGUUCAUUUUAAGGCUACUCGUUUACUAGACAAACGAAAUCAAAAAAUUAUGAAAUUUGGUGUCUAGAUAGUUACAAUAGCGUAGAUCAUGUUUAACGGAACCGAUCGCCGAAUCGGAUGUCCCAUCAUCGAAAAUAACUUACAAGCACGAAGGCCUCCGUACUUUCAAAAGCAUAGGAGCUAUAUAGUAGGUUUUGUGUGUUAUUAGGAGUAUGAAGGCCUCUGUGCUCCUAAACUGUUUUCAAUGAUGAAGUUUUCAAAUCGACAAUCGACUCUCUUAGACUUGAUCUAGCGUAUUUAAAGUAUCUAGAAAAUAAAUUUUGCGAUUUUUCGAUAUCAUUUAUACUAGCGAUCGAAAAGGUUCAAAAUCAAUAAUUUUUAAUGGUUGAUAUAUAUCGUUCACAAGUUUAAUGGUGCAGAAGUAUUCAAAUCACAUGAAGUUUUGAUAAAAAAAAUUUUGUACUAUUUAUUGCAACAUCAAUAUUUCUGAUCAAAAAUUUUAAUACUAUAUUACCACUUUUUGUAAAAUUUUUAUUUUCAGCCGUUGAUUUUGAACCUUUUCAAUCACUAGUUAAAUGAUAUCGAAAAACUGCAAAAAAUAUUUUCUACGUAGUUCAAAUACGCUAGAUCAAGUCUAACGGAGCCGAUCGUCGAUUCGAAAGCUCCAUCAUCGAAAAUAACUCAAGAGCACGGAGACCUCCGUGCUUCUAAUAGUACAUAAAACCUACUCUCUAUGUAUAUAUAUUAUUUUCUACAUAAAAGAUUUCAAAGACCGGAAAUUAUUAAAAGCACUGUUAUGUCCACCUUCGAAGGCUUUCUUAAAAGUCGUCAUUGAUUUGGCAUUCAUGCAUUGUAUAGCUUGCUCAGAUUGAUUAUAAGUACGGUGUACGUGGAUCAGCAGUGCUAAUUAAUUAUUUCAAAAAGUACAUGCUAAUAAAAAUAACGUAUUCAUCGCACUUAAAAAGUUAAGUCAUAAUAUUUACAGAUUUCGAUGUAACUUAAUUUUUCUGAAUGUUAGAUUUAUUGUUGACUCUCUUUUCUUUAUUAUGAACCGUAAUCAUACUCAACCUAUCAGGGUAAACACAACUCAACUUAUUAGCUCUCUAGAUCUACUGUGAUGCAUGUGGUUGAGGUAAUUUGGGGAGAGAAGUGGAGUUUCAACUUAUGUGCAUGACAUUUUUUUUAAAAAUUUGUUUUGAUAUAAGCGCGAUAUUAAAAAUUUGGUGACUUAAUUAAUGUGAGACAAAUACUUUUACCUCCGACGGCGUCACUGAUAGUUUAAGUUCUUAAUUUCCUGAUUAAGUUUAAUGAAUAAAUUAAGGGAUAUCCUAACCCAAUUGUUGUUUUAAAAUAGAAAUGCCACUCUGUAAUCCCCUACAAAUUGCUAGUAUAAAAUUUUUGGUUCAUCUCCCCUUCUCCAAGUAGGGAAUGUGUAUUGUUUGGCUCGAGAUAUGAUUUUUUUUUUUUUAUAUCGAAUAUUUAUUGUGCAUGUUUUUAGGAUGUCCCUUUCUAAGACACGUAAUGUUGAAACCUGUUUGUCACGAGGGUUAUCACUAACUUUAUUCUAAUCCUAGUGUUUAAUUAGCCAUGCAUAGUAUAUAUAUUACUAUUAUUAUUAUUUGAAGUGCUUUAUUCAAGUACUAUAUCUCUACUAUUGCUUUGUAAAUUUGCACUAUUCAAAUACGAUCGACCAUUUAUGAUUACUCUUUGAAAAAUAUGACACAACAUGAUCAAAUGAAUAAUAUAAAACAAAUAGAAAACAAAGUAAUUUUUUGAGCUUAUCGGAUAAAUUACGUGUGUAUAUACACAUAUAUACAUAUCGACAAUCUUAGAUACGAUUGAACAUAUUAAUACAUGAGAAAGAACACAACAUUCAAGAAUCAUAGUCUCUGCAGGGCAGAUGUGCAUUUGGUAUUUACAACUUAUUCGUCAUGGCGAGAAUAAUGACUGAUCCAGAAGUGGCGGCAGGGAUGACGAUGUCGUCCGAUAUCGAUCUCAGGCCAGGGAUAAACCUCUUAACCAAAAGAGUAAGGACGGGAGCACCAAAGAUGAAGAGGAGAGGAUCUCUCGCGCCCUGGCCGAUGAAGAAACUGUCGAAUCCGAUGACUGAGGUGAUGAUCUUUUCAAAUUCUUCUUUGGUUAGAUUUUUCUUAUCGUUAGGAUGAUUGGCCUGCAAAAGGUGGAAAUUUUAUCAAUAACUUUACACUAUUUUUCGGCCAUCAGUAUCAGUUAAUAUCAUUUAUCGUCAAUAACAAUAUAAUCAUUAUUCAUUAAUGAUUGAUAAAAUAUAAAAUUGACGAAUCUCGAGUACUUUCUUAAAGCCACGUUAUUUUCCUUGUAGAAAACUCCUUUGAAAAUUAAAAUUUUUUAUUAGUCCAACUUCAAUAAUCAAUCAAGAUACAUAAAGUUGGAGAACGUCGAGCAAUUUCGUAGCGCCAUGCAAUCGUAGUUUGCAAAAAUCUCUUUUCAAAAUUUGAAAAUUUUGAUCAGUCCAACAUUAAGUUCACAAAUAUAACCAAUUACAUGAAGUAAUAAUUAUGAUUAAGCAUUAAUUACUACUUAAAUAGCCCAUUCUUUUGACUUUUCAAGAAAACAUAAUUUUCAUUGGUUACAAUUAAUGCUCACAUUUUCUCAAAGAUAAAAAGGAUAAUCAAAUACUACACGAGUUUCCUAGCUAUAUAUAUAUAUAUAAGGGCUAAACAAACAAAAAAUAAAUAAGAAAUUGCUAAUCCAUAAAUCAACAAGGAGUAACAUAAUUUAUCAAUUAUAUAACUUACUGUAUGCAUAGCUGUAUUACCAAAAAAAAUUGUCUAGAGAAUUUUUUUAAAAAAAAAUUUAGUUUAAGAGGAAAUUUGUCUAGAAAAUGAAUCACACGAUUUGUAAAUAAGGUUUGAAAUAAAUCAAUGGGUGUGAAUUCACAACUAAAUAGUGUACUUCUAAGUCAACAUUAAUCCUUACUAGUUCGAUCAGGGUUUUAUUCAUAAAUAAGCCUUUAUUUUUUGUCAUGCAAUUUUGUAUCAGUAGUUAAGCUAUGAAACACAAAUUCUAGCAUGCAUUCACACAAUGACAUCAUUUAACCAAAAAUGAUAGAUUUUGUGUACACAAAUGAUGGGAUUUUUUUCUUUCUUUUUUCUUUUUUUUUUUUUUAUUUGAAGUACAAAUGUGAUGUUUCUUUGCCACAUUAAAACCAUAUGGCGUCCAACGUGACGGAGAAUAUAUAUAUCUUUCAUUUACAUUGCGAAAAGACUAUAUUACGACUAAAAUUUUUUACUUUACUUAGAACUGUGGCCUAUUUUAUCCCUACUUUUUAUUUCAUCAUCUAGAGCUGUGUUUACGACUGUAAAUUUAAGUCCAUUCGCAAUGACGCAAAAAACUUAAUUUGCUUUUUUAUAUAUUUAUAAAUCUCACACAUAUACAAAUUUACGAUAAGGAAAUAAGCAACAAGAACUCUCACCUUGAAUGCUUUUUCUAGCUUGUCUUUUGAUGGUAUCUUGAAUUGCAUGGACCCUUUGUCUAGACUAAAUUUUCUGGAGGUAAGAGGGGGGGAAAAAAAAAGUUAUUUUCAAAGUUUUAUAUUAGAAAGAAAAAGUUACAAAAACUAGAAAAUUCUUUUUGUGAUUUUCUAAUUAAUCGGUUAUGGAUAAAUUGCACUACUAGUCUCUGAACUGUAAAUCGAGUCUAAAAAAAUUUAAAUUGGUAUUUGUUAGUAAAGCUUUCAUUUUACUCGCCAAUUAAACUUUCAAUACUAUUUCUAUUUAGUUCUUACAUUACAAACUUUAAAACAAAAAACAAAAAGAAAAGCUUACACCUUGCUUAUAUAAAAAGAGAUUGAAUUUUUGGUAAAUUGUGGAGAUAAAAAUUAGAGAUUAUAUAUAAGAAGUGAGAUGGAACUUACUCGAUCAUCUCGAAAAUUGCAUGGUAAAAUUCAUCAAACGUCUUUAUUUCUUUACCCUCGCUACCCUCGAAAAAGGUGGCGUAAUUGUUUUUUACGAAUUCAAGUGCUUCGUUAGAUGCUGCUGCAGCAGUUGAUUGAGCCCCCACCUCCCCUAUACAUUGACACCAAAAAAAAAAAAAAAAACAAAAAAAAGAAGUUACCAUUAUUAAGAAAAAUAAUUAACGAAAACACAAUCAAAUUAACUGCCUGAGAAUGGUAACUAGGGGUGUCAACGAGCCGAACACGAGCGAGCUAAGGUCGGCUCGUGUUCGACUCGUUUGAUAAAUGAGCCGAACACGAGCUGGCUCGUUAAAGUAUCGAGCCGAAAUAUUCGGCUUGUGUUUGGCUCGUUUAUUAACGAGCUGAACACGAGCCGAAUGCGAGGUGACUUAUGAAUAAGAAUUUAACAUGAUUAGAAAGAAUAUAUAUAGGAAAUAAAUUUAUAAGAUCUUAUCCGUUAGGCUUUGAUCUAAUGAUUGAAAUUUUACAUAUAAAUGAAUUAUUUUAUAAUUGAAUUGGGCUUUUUAUUUAGAUUGGGUUAAAAAUUAAAUAAUAAAAAUUUAUAUUAUAUACAUAUAUAAUUAUUAAUUUGUAUAUAUAAAUAUAAAAUAUAUAUAUUCGAGCUGUUAUCGAGCCGAACACGAGCAAGCUAAUCUUAGCUAGUGUUCGGCUUGUUUAUUAAACUAGCUGAAAUUUUCAGCUCGUGCUCGGCUCGUUUACUACAUGAGUGAUUCGAUCUCGAGCUCAUUUCGAGCCGAACACGAGCUGGCUCGCGAACUGCGAGCUGGAUUGCCACCCCUAAUGGUAACUAGGGAUGCAAAUGGAGCGGAUCCGGAGCAGGAGGGUUUAGAGAUGUGACAUAUCGAUUGAAACCGAACCAAUCCAAAAUUUUGAACCUACAGGUUUAGAUCUAAUAAUCGCCAUCGAUUCUUCAAACUCUUGUUCGAUUUAAUUUUGCCAUAUUCACAAAUUUAAUAAUGGAGGAAGGAAACUAAACAGAGAUCAACAAUUGAACAAAUGAUGUUUCAACCUAUUAUUAAACUAGCACAUGACAAUUCUUCAAGUAAUUUGGUCACAAACUUAACAUUAAAGAGAACUCAGCUAAUUGAUAACAAUAACGUACUAAUUAAACACAAUCUUUUUCUAUCUUUCGUGUAACCUUCGUUCAUAUUUUGUGGCAUAUAAUAUUUAUACCUAUUAUUUUGCCGUCUCUUUUGCUACCUCAAUAACCUUUUUAAAUUAGAUCAUCCUUUGGGUAUAUAACAUCAAUAACACCCCUCUUUAAUUACUAUAUAUUGGUUAAUUAAACAUUAUAAAAUUAAACUGAAAAGAAAAAGGAGAGAGAGAGAGUGAGAGAGAGAGCUUGCCUUUCUUGGACUUGACCUGGCCCAUUUUUUUUUCCUUGUAACUUGAGGAGGGGAUGGUUGUUGUGUUAAGAUAAUGAAUGGUGAUCAUCAACACAUAUAACUGUAAAUAUAUAAAGGCUCAUGUACAAAGAUAUGUAUUCUUUAGCUAUGGAAUUGCUCUCAUAGGAAGCAAAAGUUCACAGCACUAAGAACGCCAAGCACAUAAACUGAUUCCAUAACUAAAGAAGAAGCAUUGUUGAGACUAGUUCCUGCACAAUGGCUCCAAGCAUUUGAGAUGUUCCCGAGUUCCCAAGGAAAUUAAAACCAUCCAUGCUAAUAAUAAAAACAGCAGUAUUUCUGACGACUUAGCUUAUUGAUGAUAUUAAUAACUUGUCGAGUACGAAUCAUCGAAAUAAUUCAAAGUUUAUCAGAUAAUAUCUUUAUAAUACUACGUUCUUAGUCUAAUAUUAUGUACUAUACUAUAUUUGGUAAUUCCGUGAUACCAAAGGAAAUUAGAAACAUAUCCUUUUUUUAAUUUAUUUGAAUCUAAUAUAAAAAAGUUUAAUAAAUUUUAUAAUAAGGUCGUUGUAGUAUAGUGGUCAGUAUUUCCGCCUGUCACGCGGACGACCCGGGUUCGAUCCCCGGCAACGGCGAUUUAUUUUUUUUUUUUUCCACUCAUUUAAUGGUUAUUUUAUAGAAAAAAUUCCUUUAUAUAUUAAUUUUCAAUCAUUUAAUUAUUAUUGAAUUAUUUUUAUGUAAUAUUUUUUUUACUUAUUUAAUUAUUAUUUUAUAGAAAACGAAAAUUUUGGCUAAUAUUUAUAUAUAUUUACUAACAUUUUGGCACUGAAGAUCUUUAAUUGGAUGGAUGAUAUAAUUUAUGUCUAAAAGCUACUACUUGUGAGUUAAAUAAUAAUUAUAGUCGCAAUAUCAAUACCAAGCUUUUAAUACUAUCAAGUUUUCUGUCGUUAAUUAUUUCCGCCCAUUAGAUUAUACUAUUCAGCCAAUUGCCCACUCAACCCUAGUAGACUACUAUUAUUGUAAUCGGGAACGAUUACCAUCCUAACCGUACAUUUUUUCAUCCAACGAUCGAAAACUUAAUAGUACCAGGCACUUUGUACUAUCAAUAGUAUAGUAGCAUAAUUAUAAUUUUGCUAUGUCCACACAUAUUUACUUGUAGGUAAAAUUAUAACAUUUGUGCGAUUUAAAAAAUUAGUGAGAUACUCACGUGAUAAAUAUUGGAUGGCAUAGAUGCCACAUUGUUUCACCUAAAUUUUUUUUUUUUGCAGUUCUAUGUAUCUUAUACCAUUUGAGAGGUAUGUCAUGCUUUUUACAAUAAACAAGAGUAACUAAAAAGAAUACGUAAAUGUCCCAAAUUACAAAACUAGUAAAUGAGCAAUUUUUUUUAUGGUUAAAUUUUUCAUAAACACUUUAGUAGUCAAAGCUACCGUUUGAAAGUGAAAAGUCAAAAAGAGAUAAAUUUUGUGAGUUCCCUAAACUUGACUUUGCUACUCAUUCCACUAAAGCUCGGAUAACUAAUUUUCUUAUAAAGCAAGUAAAUGGACUUUUUUUUUAGUUAAAAUUUUCAUAAAGCAAGUCCGUAGUGUUAGGUUUCAUGAUCUCACAUCGAAAUAAAUAUCGAUGCUUACAAUUUUCUUAAAGUUUUGAAUUCAAUUUCUAAGAUCCAUAAAAACAAAUAGAUCCAAAAUCUAUAACGAACGCGGAACCAAACAAACUUUAACUUUUCUUGUAAAACAAAACGUUCAUAAAUUCAGCAGUCUUCUUCUGUCCGCAACCACAGUUUCAAAAACUCGGGCGAGCGUCUUUCUAAGACGUCUUAUAUCGAGGGUGACAUUUUGCCCUUCCAAAUACACCUGCUUGGUCACGUCCCACGCCUUCUUGCCCUGCACCCUCUCCGGAUCCCUCACCACCACAUCAUCCGCCCCGUACUUCCUGCUCAACGAGCUCUCCCUCGGGAGCACCUCGUACUCGGCGUACCGCAGCCCCGCGCGCACCGCCGGAUCGCGGUAGCAAGUGUCGGCGACGUUCUUCACUCCGAGCGGUAUAACUUGAAUGAACGUCGCGCCGGGCCGCAUGAACAGAAAGUGCGUCAGCGCGGCACCAUGCACGCCCAUCAUCGCAUCGCACCUGCUCAGGGAUGCGUAGACUCUCGCCAUAGGCAUCCUGUCUGUCGGCCGCAGCACCUCCACGUCGAACCCGACCGCCCUCGCCAGCUGCACCACCUCCCCCUCGUUCUCCACCACCCUCGUCGCUCCCCGCGACACCACGACCAGCUUCGGCCGCCGCGGGGGCUUCGUUUCUUUCGGCUCGUUAUACGCUUCCUCGAGCAUGUGCUGGAAGGUUUGCAUGCUCAUCGUCUCGUCGGAGAGCUUCGCGGGGUCGAUGGCGAGGGUGCCGUGGAAGCGGAGCCCCGCGACAGCCCCCGGGAAGCAGUGGGUCCUCGUGUUGUUGGAGAAGUCGAUCGGAGGGUAGUCGGAGAUGCCGGCGAGGAUCUCCCGGUACUUGAUGAACCACCAGUGGUGGUAGUUGAGGACGACGAGAACUACGCGGCGGCGGAGGCGGUGGGACGUGAUGUAGAGCGGGAGGAUUGCGUCGUUGAAGGCGUGGAAUACGUUGCCCGUGUAUCCGCCGGCCGAGAAGAAGAUGGCGGGGACGUCAUGGCGGACGUCGCACGGGUGCGGAGCGUCUUGCGGGGCAGCGGCCCGGAGUCGAAGCUCGGAAAUCCUGUCCAUGAUGAUCCCUUCCCAUUUUCGCGGGUAAGGUCGAAUCUUUUCUUCUGCGCUGCUGUUGCGAUUGAUCGUCACGUUACUAGGCGGAUAAAGGACGACCGACGAAGCGUGCGAAUGCGUUCGAACGUCCCCUGACAUGAAGCAAAUGUCGCUGUGGUAGCUCGUUCGGUCGCAGCAAAUGGAAGAGUUGUUGGAGAGGAAAGAGCAAGGAGAAUGUCUGUGCCAACUGUGGCUGGUGUAAUUAUUAUAGAAUGCUAUCUCUUUAUCUCCGAAGAAGCUGAGAGAAGAGGACGAGGUCGAGAGGAAGCGGACCGCAAAAAAGAAGCAGAGUGUCGAGAAGAGGGACAAGAAGAAGAAGAGAUGGAGGGAGCUUUGCUUGGCCUUCUUGCUCUCUUCUCUACCCUUGGGGAUGGGUUGGUCAUGUUGUUUACCACAUCUUUGACCCAUCCUUGCGUAGGCUCUUCUUCCUCUCUAUGUUCCCUGAUUCAAGCCUUCACUUUUGGAGAAUUUUGGAGUGCCAGAAAAGAAGUUACCACUUACUAGAGAGAGAAAGAGAGAGAGAGAGAGAUGUGAUGAGAAAUUCUCCUCCCUGAUUGCUAGGGUGUAAAUGGGGAAUUGGUAAAAUGGGAAAAAGUUUGAAUGAAUAAAGUAAUUACAUCCUUGCCUAAAUUGUGUGACAGAGUGUGAACAUAAUUGAACGCUGGAGUUGUUAGGCUGUAAAUGAUACAAUGAAAACUGAUAUUCUUUUUUUCUCUUUUCUCUUGGGGAGUGAAAUGCAACAACGGACUUGGUAGCUUCUCUAAUUAGUACAACUAAAGAGAGAGUGUGUAAAGUAUGGGAUGUCAUUGCCAAAGUUUGUGAGGACAACUCACCGCAAAACGCAAUUCUUAAAUGAAGUAAAUUACACCUUGCCUUUUGUGGUUAUGGUUAAAAGGGGCAAACACUCCUCUUGUAAACAUAAUCUAAUUUACUUGGUAUUGUUAUAUAUUGGGACAUGCAUAAAGUCAAACAGUUGGUAAAACUCUCAACCACAAUGGUGUUUAAUGGUCACCAAUGAUGAUUUUCCUCAAACAGGAUAGUGAGAAAAAAAAAAAAAUUGUUCUCUCUUCCCGCACUGCACAAAACAGCAGCAACUAGGGCAACUCUAGGAAAAUAAUGGCGUUUUCAUUUACUAAUCUAGCACUGCUAAAAUGCAAAAAAACCCACUGGACAUGCAAAUAUGCAAAAUACUAUAAUGUGCUUAAUUUGUUUGUCCCUUCCUAUUUCUUAAUCUGGUAAGAAAUCCAGCAUAUAAAGUACUAUUUAUGUAUCACAAAAAUAAAUAUAAAUCUUAAAUAUAACGCCCCAAUAAUCUCACGCUUGUCAUAAUAACUGGAUUUAAAUAUUUUAGACCGGUGAUUUGAACCCAACGAGUUAUUAUUGCUGGCGAGUGGAUCGUUAUAUUUGAUAUCAGAGUCCGAUAAUCAAUCGGUGGUGUGAGAUAGAUUUCACAUUGCUUAGUGAAUCUGAAAUUAUAUAUAUGAUUGAGCCAGCUGACAAAAAUGUCAAGGCUUAUAAGUGACAAAUAAACUAGUAAUAAUAAUUAUGCUUAAAUAUUUUGAGCCGGCGAUUUGAACUCGACGAGUUAUUAUUGCUGAUGGGUCGGGUCAUUACAUUAAUACUCUUUUACUUAAGGACCAAUAUUUCACACUUAUCUUAUCAACCUUCUUUUUUAAUAUUAAAAAUCAAAAGAGGGUUAUCCAAACACUUAGGAUUGAUGAUGUAUCGAUGUGCGCCUAGUUUUUGGAUGCAUAGGUGGCAUUUCUGCAAAAAGUUUCUAGUAUGGCGAAAAUAGUCAUACAAUAAUCUACAAUUAGACCAUCUAUUGGGCUAUAAAAGAAAAGAACAUUGCAGAUAUUGCACCAAUUUCCCACGAAUCAAAAUAAUUCUCUCCAAAAAAUAAUAAUAAAAAAGAAAUGCAAGGAUCAGUUCCAUAUCAACAUCUCAUUGCUCCACAUACCAAUCAAUCAUUCAAUGGACAAUCAGCUGCAAACACAGUUAAGACAGAUGCUACCUCAACAGCUACCGCUCGCGUAGUAGCUUCUGCUUCUUUCUCAUCUGCUCUCGCCUCUCUUCUUCCUCAAUAAGGCGAAGCUGUUCUUCGUCCUCCUUUCUAGCAAUCUUCGAGCUGUAUAUGGUCAUUCAUUAAUACCGACUACUUGGUAAAUCCAGAAAACGAUACUUAGAUGAACAUAACUUUGAUAUCAAUUCAAUGAAAAGAAGAACAUCGGAAGUACCCACUGGAUAAGCUCUUGAUUUGAGUAAUAUAAUAAUUAAUGUUAGUUUAGUUAGUGAGCUCAGUUUGAGCCGCCGGGCUAAUCGAAAAGAGAAUUCAGUUGAAAUAAAGAUUGAAUACACAAACAUCAAAAUACAUACCUCCUACGCUCUUCCUUCUGUAUCUUAUCAAAACCAACCUCCAUGUCACUAUCAUCCUCAUCCAUCCCUGCAUACCUACUAGGAUCAUAUCUGCACAAAAGGACAAAAAAUAAGAAACAUUAAUGUCAUUGACAAUGAAAGCUUUGACAUUAAAUGAAUGAUUUAAAAAAAAAACAAAAGAAAGGAAAAGGCUGGUAGAUCUUAAAUCUAAAUAUUGAAAUUAAUAAAGCUAAUUUCCAGAAGACUAUAUCACACCAUCCCUUCCAAUUUUACACUAGUUCAAGCAGAAUGCCAGAUGACACUAUGAUAAGAGGAUAAGAACAACAAAAUAUACCCAAACAUCUUCCUGAUCAUUCCUAUAGCCAAUUCACCAUCUUCAUCAUCGUCUUCCUCAAAGGGCCGUUUUGCAGGCUUUUUCUUUGGACGGUCAUCAUGCGUGGCAUGCGAAGAGAUCUGCUUAGAUGGCUUCAUAAAGCAGCAGAUCAAAAGUCAGGACAGCAUAUAUAUAGCAAGAAAGCAGCAGAUAGAAAUCAUAUAUGUAAGAGAUGGUCUUAUGUACUAGCUCCUUAUUCAGAACCUAAACUUGGAUCCCCUCUUCGGUAUAGCUGCAGGCAGUUGCUUAAGUAAAGAAAAUUCCAUAUCGGGAAAAGGAAAAGAAGACCUGAGGUUUUGAUGAAGGCAACGGCUUCUUCGGUGCUAUUGGCUGCUUGGGUGCUAUUUUUACUUUAUCCAAUCCCGAAGCUAUUCUUUUUUGUUCAGGAUAACGAUUUUGAGUGGUUGAGGCAUGGGGCUUCACAGGCAAAGAAUUCUUCUUUAAACCAGGGUCAUUUACAACCUUUCCAAUAGACCUACGGGAAUCGGUGGACUGCACAGGAACCUUUCCAAUAGGCCUUUGUGAAUCAGCGGAAUGCAUUGGGACCUUUCCAAUAGGCCUAUGAGAAUCAGCAGACCGCCUAUGAGAAUCAGCAGACCGCACUGGAACCUUCUGAGUCAAUGCUUUACUCCCAACAACCUGUCUGGGCCCAUUUGCCACACCAGAACUAACCACUUUUCUAAUAGAUUCAGUUGAAGCUGGCGUAUGUCGGUUUGGAGGAGCUUCCUUUGUAGACCCCACUUUCGUUUGCACGUGCCUGUUUGUUGAAACCAGGUUCUUUGAUUCACGGCCAUUAGAAGCUAGACUACUUGCAGGUUUGCUCAUUGUCGGCAACUUGCUCUUCUUCGAUAGUUCUUGCGAAGGUCGACCAUCUUCCACAUAAGGAGAAACCUGUAUAAGUAUCCUCCUCUAUGAAAGACCAAAUAUGCUUUGCAAUAAAUAAUCCAGAUACUUGUGCAUUAAAAAUCACAAUAUACCAGAUCUUGGAACUGAAACAUUUCUGGAGGAAGGCGCCUCCUUAGCUGCAGGAGAAGGAAGAUCAGAAUCAUCUGAGAGUAGAAACGAGUAGUCCCUCAUGUCUUUGAGUGUCUGAGCUUUCUUCUUUGUCUGAAAGGGAAAAAUUCAAUGUUAAGUACACGUCACACACCACGCAAUGAGCACACAGCGAUAUUAGUAAUACAAGAUAUAGAAUGUAGUGUCCUUAUUUCCUCCACACCUCAUUAACAACUUUUGGUUGCUGGUAAUGUGCUUUUGGUUUUACUUCUGAGGAUAAGGGAUCCCUUUUCUGCAAAAGGAAAAGAACAUUAACUUUCUUGUUAAAAUUAAAGCUAGAUGAUUUGAAACCAAGGGUCUGUUGUACAUACACUUGAAGAACUUGACGCUUUAGCGACAAUGUGCUUGGUCUCUCUAAUAGAGCGGCUUUCUUCGAUAACUCGUGGAGCAAUAACAGGUUUUGAAGGGCCAAAGAAGGAGCCAAACCUGAAAAGAGAAAUGAUAUUCUUUAUGAAGGAACAGAAUGCUAUGCACCAUCAAACCAUCCUAAGUAUUGAUGAGUAGGAAAAAUUUAGAGUAAAUUCACUAGUACAAGAAAAUUUAGUAUUCCAAUAAUUCAAACAAUUUCACACCAUGAAAUAACAUUCAGCUUUACUUUAUAAUUCAAACACCAACUAUCAUAAUAAGUCAGCUCGUUAUUUUGAACUUUCUAAUUUGGUUUUAUUUAAGUCUUGAUGGUUGCUAGAGAUCUGUAAAUUUAUUAGUUUGAGAUAUGAUCUCACUGUGGAGAGUACAAGGAUCCUGGCCUUUCUGUAGCUGAUUGCUGGCCUACUCAUAAUGAAUUCAAACUCAGCAAUUGCACUAAGAUCUGCUUCUUUAGACACAUAAGUGUUGCAAUUUAUAAAAAAAAUUGGAAUAUAGCUACCAAUUAAAGUCCAAGGGACACAAGAAACAGAAUCACUGUCUUUGUUAGCAAAAAGUCUUCUGCAUAAGGAUAAGCUCAAAAAACACAUAGCAAGGACACAAAGCAUCAACUCACUUAUCAUUUGGCACCGCCGUCCUCUUGACUUGAGUUGAAGAUACACGACCGAAAUCACUAGCAGUUUGCGUCUUCAACUUUCGUCUAAAUUUAUCUUUUAGUUGCUCCCUCAGCUUUAGAAAAUCCUGUUCCUCCCUGGUGGGCUUCGGAGCUUCACGUUCUUCUUCCUCAGCCUCGGAAGCUUCCUCCUCAUAUUCAUCAUGAUCAUAAUCCUCCUCAUAAUCAUCAACUCUUUGGCGAAAGCCCUAAUAAGAAAAUUUAUAUGCUCAUUAAGUCUGCUUUGCGAAACAUCCAAAUAGGAAAAAAGUUGAUAAGAUUAGUAACUUACAUUGCUUUCAUAGCCCCUCAUUGGCUGCAAGACAUUCAAGGAAUCCACAAGCUUAAUAAUUCAGAGAGCAGCAACUCGCAAACCCUAUGAUGAAGUUACUGCAAAAUAUAAGAAAUAUUGUAACCACGUACCGACCAUAUGGGGUUUGAGCUUGGCUUUCAAUCGUUCUAAUAAGUAUAUAUCCAAAGAAGUUUAGACAAUUUGCAGCAGGACCUCGACAAAUCCGGCAGCAAUGAUAAUAAAGAAACAAGAAAAAAUAUGUCCAGAUUCUUGAUUUUAAGGAAACAAUUUAAUAGGAGAGAUACAUAAUAUGAUAGUCGAAUAGAAAAGAAUAAUUCUGCAAGACUUGAUACUAACCAAUAAAGAAAUGUCAUACUUUGUGGUAUGUACAGGAAAGAUUUUAUCAGGAGAUACACAAUAUAAUAGUCGAAUAGAAAAGGACAACUCUGCAACUAUGUUAAGUUAAUGCUAAUAUUUAUCACAAGUUAUAUCAUAGACUAAGUUGAGCAUGCGUCAUAUCGAUAUUCUCCAUUGAUUGCAAAUCAAAGGCGACUAUUUUUUUCUCUUUAGAUUUCUGCUCAAAGGAACAAAACAAAUCUGAUAAUUCUAAUCUAAAAUUUUUUAUUCAAACUCAACAAUCAAGCAAACAUCUGAAAUAUUUCGAUUCAAACUCGACAAUCAGGCAAACAACGCUUUGCAGAGCUAUCCAACAUAUGAAAAAUGUAAUAAAAGGAUACCACAAAAUUACAAAUUUCAGUUUUACUAAAACCUGAUUAGUUCCAAUUACAGAAUUACAGGAAUCUUCAAAACUUACAUAAGAAAAAUUACUAAAAACGAAACAAAAAAUCGAAAUUUGUAAUUUUGUGGUAUCCUUUUAUUACAUUUUUCAUAUGUUGGAUAGCUCUGCAAAGCGUUGUUUGCCUGAUUGUCGAGUUUGAAUCGANAAAACUUCCUUUCAUUAAUUAAAAAAAAAAACAAAAAAAACAAACCUUUUUGGUUUAAUCCCAUAAUCAAAAUUUCUGGAAAAAAAAGACACCUUCUCACUUACUAAGUUAGGGCAUCACACUAAAGAUCGACUCUAUUUACAGAUCCAUAGGAUCUCCAGCCUCAAAAACAUCAAAACCCCUAAUCCCAAAUUCAGAACCUCAUGCAGCCCCAAAUCUCUUCGAUCCAUCACAAAACACUAACCCUGAAAAAAAACCCUCAAAAUCAUCCCCGGAGACCGAAAGAAUCACCCAAAUCGGGCAUUUUUUGCAGAAUAGAUCGAUCCGGAAAAGGACAAAAGAUCAGAAAAUUCGAUCUCCAAAGAAGGAGAGAUCGAAUCAAGAUCCGAAUUUGACACCGAUUGCCCCCUUAAAACUGAGCCGAUCGAAAGCAAAACGUAGAGAGAUGAGACGAUACCUGAACCUCGAAGGGGCGAGAGAGGGGUUGCGGAGCGAAAAGGAGGCGAUAGAGAGAGAACGUGCGAAAGGCGAAGCUCCUACGUUUUGAUCGAACGAGCCCAAAUCCUUAUCAACAAGGAGAUGUGAGCGAAGCGUUAAACCUAGCCAUGGUAAAGUCGUAAAUAAACAGGUAAGCUGACACGUGGCAUGACCAGUGGUCGAAAAAAUAUUUGGUACUUUUAAUUUAUUUGAUUUGAUUUGAUUUGAUUUGAUGUAAGCUAGUAAUCCAUACAUUACUAAAUUUAUAAUGAUUAAAAUUAUAUAAAAUAUAUUAAUAAAUUUAUAAAGAUAAGUAAUAUAUUCAAAAUUUGAUAUCAAAAUAUCUUAUUAAAAUUUAAAAAAUUAUAUAAUAACAUUAAAAUUUUGAGAGGUGGGAUGUCAAAUCAAAAUUGUUCACUGCUAUGCUAAAUUUCAUAUGUUUUUACCAUAAUACUUUUAUAUUUUGGAGGUGCUUUUGAAUUUUCUUUUAUUUUUUAAAGUAUAUAAUUAAGUGCGUUUAGCAAAAUAAUUCCAAACUAGAGUCCAGUGUAUUUGCCUGCAAGACAUUGUUUUUUUUUUUUUUUUUUUCCAAAAACUGUAAAAAUUUACAUAGUUCUACAAUGAAAGCUAAUAUUGUAUUUAACAAAGUGAAAAUCUAAAAGAAUAAAAACAAAUAAGUUUUUGAGCCUCAAAAAUAUAAUAAUAAUAAUAAUAAUGCUUGUAAUUUGGUAAGUGCCUUAAUUACAAAUUUGUUAUUUCAAAUAUUGAUUUCAAUUAUGCCCACUUUCCACACAGUAGACUAAUGAAAGGACUCUGAAUUAGAACUCAGGGCAUAGAAUUGAAACAGGGGUAGCAUAUGGAGGAUAAAACAGUAAGCAAACCAAAAUGCUAUUCCUACCAAUGUGUGAUCUGGAAUGUCAUGUUGUAUACAAGAUUGGUUCAACAUGAAAUAUGUUAGUGAGGAGAGUACAACAUAUGGAAGGAACUACAGUUGUCAGUGAAUCUGAACUUGAUUAAGCUGCAACAUCAGCUUCUCAUAACUAAGGAAGAAACCUACGCGGCUAAGAUGUAAUAUACAAGUGAAAUUUAUUCUUCCACGAAGAAUCGUUAAAAACCGAAAAGCAACGACUAAUCAUACAAUCAAAUGAAGCCCGAACCGAAGCUGCAGCAGCAGUUCCUUCAGCAAGUUCUGUUCACCUGAUUUGGAAGCCUUCCUACCAAGAGAUUCGAGGCGACACGGGAACUCCGGAAGUUGAGGCAUCCACAGUUAAAUGGGAGACUAGGAAAGUUUUCGCUUGAUCACUCAUAGCCAUUUCUUUGUGGCCUUUGAAGAUGGAUGGACAGGCGGUGGUGUCCUCGGAUUCGGCAUGUUUGUAUCUGCCACCACAGCGACAGAAACUUUGAGAUGAUAAUUAAUCAUGAAGAGUCAAACAAUAGCAUUGGAUCUUAAAAUUGUAGACACCAUCAUGCAGGCAUUGAAUACCCUAAUUGCGUGAUUGAAAGCUCAAACCGGCAGUAGAAGACAUGCCAUGAUGAUUUGCGAAAAGACAAAUAAUAUUUUUCACAUUAUCUCUGCAAGAGUAUAAUAAGGUUAGACCUCAGCAUAUCAGACAACAGAGGGAACAUGAGCAAGCAUUCAACAGAGAAGACCUUUGCAGUUACUAUAAUAAGGUUAAAAGAGAGAACUAGUCGCAAAUUCUAAUUUUCGACUCACAUGAAUCCACUGAUUUUCCACCAAGUGAGGAUCUCCUUGACAACGGCUGAACAGCCGUUAACGACUGCCGCCUCCUCGAUCUCGCGUCAAUUGGAAUAGGAGACUUGCUCUCAAUGUUCUUGCUUAUGCUGAACUUGGAUGAUGGUGUUUCCGAUGGGCGCUGAGUGUUCCUAUACAUUUCAGAGAAGCAUUAUAAAAAAGCGAUUAUGAAGUUAGAUAUGCUAAUCCAAAAUGAGUUUUUCAUCGUCAUCCAACUUCUUAAGUACUAUUACCUUCUUUCGGAGCCAUUUAUCAAUUUUCCAAUACUUUGUAGGGAUUUUCUUAUAUGGGAUCCUUUGCUGCUGACAAUAGAAUUUGAGCCUUUUAUCUCUGACUUACUGCCGAGCUCAUCUCUGAUACUCACUACCUCGCUAGAUUUCAUUACUCUAUUCGGUGUAUUCUGUUGGAAAUCAUAGCCAGAUAGAUUCUCCAUCUCAAGCAACAGACACUGAUCUCUUGACAAAUUACCAGUAAGAGGAGAGCAUUGUAAGAAAGCAUCAGUAUCAGCUACACUAUGACACUCCUCAUUUAUUCUCGAUUUUGCUUCCACGCCACCAUGCAAUGCUGCUUGACUACAGUGAUUGCUUCCCUUAAGUGGUUCUCCUUCAUUUGUAGAGUUGAGCUGCAUCAAAACAAACAACAGCCAAACAUGAAACAACCUUUACACAAAUUGAAAACUCAAAUUUUAUCUUUCUAUAUGGCAUCUUACUUUUAAAGCUGAUUUAGUUUUUCCAAGAUUUGGACCUUCCAAGCUCGACCGUCUGUGAUGAAUCGGCACAUAUUCUGUUGCCACCUUUUGCAUCGGGAUUGGAGAUUUAGGAACCCUUCUAUCAUCUGGGUUAGUUGAUUUAGUUACCUUUGAGUUAGUUGUAUUCUCAAUGCUAAGCCUUCGAGACCGUGGAGGGGUUCGCUCCACCAUUUGCUUUGCUCUCUCACUGAGGGGUGUGUUCUCUUUCAUUUUCAAUGAAGAUGCAACUUUUUCUGCUUCCUUAGUUGCCAGUGCCUUCUUUAGACUAUCAAUCUGCAAAAACAUUGCUUCCAAUAAUUAGAUGUUGUUUGAACCAGCAUCAGAUAAAUUAAUCGUACUUUUCCUUCUGCUGCAAAAUAUUACUUUUUGGACAAGUGGCCAAUAAAUGAACAGCUAUAAGAAAAUUAUGAACAUCACAUCCAAAUUGAUUUAGAAAAUGUUACAAGUGACAGUUAACAUCUUACUACAAGAAAGCAAAUAAUUCACUCUUGGUACUGCCACUUAAUUCGAAAUAAAGUACUGCCACUUAGUUCGAAAUAAAUUAUACUUGUGCCUAAAUUUAUUGUCGAAAGAGCAACAAAUCCAAGGAUAAAAUGACACAUAUCAUCUGACCUGUUCUUUGAGUUCCCGAACUUCACUGCUUUCUUUAUUCGAAUGGGCAACACCGAGCUCAACAGUAGAUGCCCUUUGUGCAAACUUCAGCGUACUUACUGUUUCCACAUAAGAGUCGGCCUCAGGACUCACAUGAGCAAACAUCAACAUCUUUGCAUUGCCACCUGAAAUGAAAAUUUAGAGAGUACUUAUAAAAGAAAAUAGUGGCAAGUACUUCCUCCUCCAUGAUCCAAUUAUUUUACUAUUAAAAAAAAAAGAAUAACAAGGUAAUCAGAUUUAAAACCUAGUGAGUUUUGUAACAACUGUGUGAGCUUGCUGUUUCGGUAUGGGAUGUGAGAGUUCUUCUGAGCCAAGGCUGUGAUGACAUCUCCCAAACAGGAAAGAGACUUGUUAAUAUGUUGCGCCUCUCUUAGCCUGUCUCCAGUGGCUUCUGAUCGAUCGACCCUUUCGCUACCCGCAAGGUCCACUAAAUACAAGCAACUGUGAAUCGUGCUACCCGAAAUGUCUUUACCAUGAACAUGAACUGUCAAAACACUGCAUAGAAAAGUGCAACACACUCCUCUCUAAGAUCACAUUUCUGAACAGAACAUCUUCUGUGGAUUGCACAGGCUGCAUAAUAGCAUCCGGAAGGCUCAACCCACCAUUGCUUGAGCAAGUCCUAAUCUCUAUUGUGAACUUGUCGUUAAGGACCCCAAAACAAGUUAAUAUUUCUUUUGAAGAGAGAGAGAUAGCAUGCUAUCUGCUUCGUCUUUUUUCUUUUUAUAGAAAUGAACUUAGCAGGAAAUGUGAAACAACUAGGCUUCGAAUUUGAGAUCUUGGGUACCAAAUGUCGGGCCCUUUGUCACUUGUGUUAAAGACAGUCAAUAAGUUAAUAUAAUACUAUAUUGAGGAAGAAAUAUAAGUAUAUUUGUACAAAAGGAUAUUUGGUGCUUGUUGCAUCUUCUGCUAAAAGGUCCCGGACUUGCUCAUUGUAGAUCUCAACCAUCUGAACUUGAAGCUCGUAUUUCACGUCUUCUCGUGUUCUUGAUAUUUGGAAGAGGUCAUUUAAAGCCUUGUAAUUUAACCCCAUCUCCUUACUAGAUCUCUCUGAUGGGCCACACUAUUUAGACAAAACAAAAGUAGAAAUAGUGGUAAAGCUUAGUAUAAAAACGAAAGCCCACGACACACACAAUUUGCAGAACUACCAGAGAGAAUUUCCAUGAUUAAACUUACCAUGGUGUGGGUUUUACCAGAACCUGUCUGGCCAUAAGCAAGAAUACAUACAUUAUAACCGUCCAUUACAGAUCUUAUCAAAGAUUGUGUGUCCUUGUAUAUAUCAUCUGCAUAUAAAUGCGAAUUUAGGAUUUCAUUACUCAUUAAGAAAGAAAGAAUUCUAAGAUCACUAAAAGCUUGUAGAAGAAGACCUUGAGUCGCAGUUGGGCAGAAAACUUUGUUGAACUGGAAAACUUUGCGUGCACUUUGUGGCUUAAGCGGAUCAAGAACCAUCAGCGAGCCAUCAUUUCCAAUGUAGUCGAUUGAAGUUUUAGCUCCCGAGUCAAUAAGUGGUCUGAUCCUGCAAAACACUCGAAUAUUUCCUGGCAAAUAAUAAUUGUCAUAAUUCAUCCUUUGCCGAUGACAAUCUCAAUGUAUACUAGUGCACAUAAUCUUGCUUACCCCUUAACUCCUGAAGCGUGUUAUACAAUUGCCGGUUUUCUUUAACAGCUUGAUUGUAUCCCAUAGCGGCAGCAGAUAGCUCUUGAAUAUGAAAUCCUAUAAGAGUUAAUAAAUAGCAUCAGUUAACUUUCUGAAGUUCAUAAGCAAUAUUUCCAGAGAAUCAUCCUGACAGAGCUUGCCAUCAAAUGACUGAGAGUAGGACUCAUAUAUCGAUUAUAACUACAGCUUGCUACAUAAUUGUUAGCUCUUACGUAUUUUUUUGCAAUCAUCCUGUAAUUGGUGCUGAAGUGUUACAAAGUCGUCUUUAGUUCUCAGGAGCAUAGUUUUGAGUUCCUGAAAAGUUAAUUGAAGGCAUUAAAUAAUAUCAGAUUGACAGAGUAGCAAGUAAACACUAGUUUUUACCACAGAUACGCUCACUUUGCAUCAAGUAAGAAUAAACAAUUAUAACAAAUAUUAGACGAUAAAGCUACUAUAUCUUAAUAAGAGGAUAUUCUAAAGCAAGAAAAAAAGAAAAAUAGUAGAACAACCGAAACUCAUAUAGGUAACUUGAAAUAUAAUGCCAAACAGAUAAAUAACAAAAUGAUGACUUACCGCAAGUUCAUUUUCUUGGGCUUCCAAAAGACGCCAAUGAUAGGAAUCAGCUUUUCCCGAACAUACUUUAUAACUCUGCAGAAGUGUACAGUAUACUUUAAAGGAGUUGGUUUAUUAUUAGGAUAACUGGUAACGUGUCAAUAUGAAUAGACUUUUGAAAUAUGCAAAGAACAAAAUAAAGAGAAUGAUAAUGACUGGCAUAUAGUGGACCUAGCAUAACAAAUCAUGCCUACCAUAAUAACAUCAUUUCAUAUAGGAAAUGUUAAAGGGUUUACAACGACUAUCUUACGCUGCUAAAACAAUCUUAACUUGUAGCUAUCACCAUACACUACCAGUAUAAGAUCUAAUGCAAUCAAAGAACUUAACAUCCUUAUUAUUAUACGACAAGAUUUACAAAUAUUCUAUAAUCAUUUUCAUCAGACUUCCAACCAUAGCUCUCAAAUCACAUUUAUUAACACCAUAAGCCAACAAGUUAUUCAAAAUUUCAAAUGGUGAAAGAAGACUCAUCAUUUAGGUAUAAACGAAAGUUCCCGAGGAUAUAUGCAAGUAUCGGCGAGAGCUAUAUUUGCGAACCACUUAAAAUCAUCACCUAGCAAACAACUCUGGGUUAACAUGAUCCUAUCGUCAGUUCCAACUGAAACUGUAACCAACUAUAAAUCAAUAAAUCAUUAUGGCAUGGGCAAGAUGCACUAACCAAAAUUAGCACAUACACUACUAUUAAGAAAAGUCUGUUGAUGUAACACUUAUUUACAAUUAAAUUUAUAAUCAACAUCUAUCAUUUAUAUUAACAUAUUUCGCUCUAACUCAACUGAGGCUUUAUAUUUUAUACCAAGAAAAUUGAGGUUUGGCAAUAUAAAUGCUGAAAAGCGAAUACAUGGGAUCAGUCAUAUGAAUCCUCCUUCGCCAUUCAUGUUCAAGUUUAAUAAGCGGUCCCCUCAUAAACAAAAGGCAGUCAAACUAUUUCGAUUACCUCUAACCAUAGCAUUUUGUUCAUUACUUCACAUUUGACAUUGACUAUUUAACUCCUAAUACUGCAAAAUAUAAAAAUUCAGUCUCGACUCAUAACAAGAAGUCUAACCUCAUGAUUCUGAGAUAAGUCGUUGUUCAGCACAUUCUCUUCUAGUGAAUGAACUUCAAGAAGCGAUUUCAACUACAUCAGAAAAGCACACAAUGCGCCCUUAGUGGACAUGGAUUUCAAUAAUAGAAAAGGCAAAAAGCAUAUUUCUGUAGCUACCGUGUAGGCUUAAAUCAAGAAUUUGAUAUCUAGCCUCAGCAUAAAGGUUUGAAAAGUCACAUCAGUGUUUGAGAUUCUCCUUUAUUUAGAAGAUGCAUAAUCAGAAUUGAAAAAAAGAACUGCAAUAAUAGUAGAGAGAAACAAAGAGAGCUUACAAAAAUUUAGUUUAGGGCAUCAAACAAACUUUUAGCUGCAAAUGAUAGGUACUGGACACUAGAAGGUUUUGGUGCAAGAAUCUACCAGAACAUAUUGUCAAAGUGAUACACCAAUACCUCUUGUAGAAAUAAGUCUUUCUGAAAAAGAAUGCUGUACAUGAUUUAUAUCAUGUUUAUUUACCUGUUCCUCUUCAGGGCAACUUGAGACGAUCUUACGAAAUAGCUGAAUGGGAUCCUAAAACCAAGAACAUGUCCAAGUGAAAAACUGUCACAGAAUACAAACGGAAACAAUGUUGUCAGUCCAGCGAUACGGUUGAAAACAACUAUUACCAAUUUUCCCUGAUUCCAUAAAUCUAGAAGAUCUUUGUUGAUGUUCUCCUUCGAGUUUAGCAUACAAUCUGUUAGCACUCUCACGAGCGAGUCCAUUGCAUCUGAGAAGGAAAAUAGGGCUUAAAAUUACAAGCAAGAUAUGCAGGUAUAGAAGUUUUUUCAAUCUCAUAUGUUACUUAAUCUCAAAAGUUAUCCACCUUCACUCUUUUGAUUCUCCUUUUCGGAAGAUGGCUUGUUAUCCAAGGGUGCCGUCAGGUCCAAUCGCCUACAACGGACCAUUAAACCCGAGGAGCAGGUGACGCGAGACUGAGCUCGGCUGGCGGAAUGCGGAGCCACUGGCGAUUUCAUGAACUUCCCAGGCCCAUUGCCUCCACUGCUUUGCUUCCACUCAUGGUAAGAUUUCAAUCCUAGAAUACAAUCGACAAUCUUAGCCGCCGACCCGGCCUCCAAAUUAUCCUACAAGAACCAUCCAAAAUAUUAUAUAAAAGGGUUUUUAAGGUAGUAAAGUGAUCUAAUUUGAAGUUGUAGUAUAUCCAACCCUUUCGAGAUCGGAAGCUUCGAAGCUCGGCAGCUUUAGCGCGUCGACAGCGACUAGAAAGUUGCGGAUGUUCUCGAAGUGCUGAUAAGCAGUGAGGGGCUGGCUGUCCCACGUGGCCCCGAUCGGCUGAUUGCCGACAACCUUAACCCAGAAAAUGCAAUUCAAUCACAAUAAAUAAGGAUCGGAAUUGGAAGGAGGAAGAACAGAAAAGGAAUUAAAUUGAGGAAAUGUACCUUGGGAACAGCACCUGGGAGGAUCUUGUUGAUGGCGCCGCAGAGGAUGAGGCCGCUCCUCAAGCAGGAGAUGAACUCCUUCUCGGAGGGUUGCACCGGCAAGCCGAGAGGCCCCAGCAGGCUCUCCAGCCAGCUCGCCGCUUGGGACCGCCUGCAUGCUGCGGUAGAAACAACAAGAACAAGAGUUGGCGAUGCCCACCAAUUUCCCAGGAAAGAUAUAAGGAUGCUAACCUUAGCCCUAGAAAGAUAAUGGAGAUUACUUGUAUCUUAAGUGGAACAAAGGUUCUGAAAAAUUUAAAGCAAAGAUCCAAAAUUUGUUGGAAAUCCCAACAAAACCCACAUCAAGAUUCCAUUCAAAAUCCCGUUCUCGCUAGAGCCAUCUCUGGAUUCAAGCAAAAACGCCUCAUUUCACGCACAAAUGAACUUAGAAUUUGCAUCCCCCGCAACAAAGAUUGGAACCGAGGAAAAGAGAGAGAAAGGGAGCCACACCAGCUUCUUCCGCUUUUCUCGAUGCGAAGCGCCCGUCUCUGAACGAUCGCCGACAUGGCUCCUCCAUUGUUGCUUGUUCUCCUCCUCCUCCUCCUCCUCCUCUGAGAGAGAGAGAGAGAGAGAGAGAGAGAGAGAGAGACGUGGGUAUUGGAUUGGGGGAGAAGGGAGGAGGGGAGAGAGGAGGAGUGAGAGGGGGUGGUGGUGGAGGGGGCUUAGGAAUCGUAACGUUAAAAUUAGAAAGAAGGGGCGAAGAGGGGGACGAUUUGAAUUUGAAUCGGUAGGGCCCCCUCGAUACUGCCGUUACCGCUGAUUGAAUCGCGGCCGUACAUCUCUUUGUUAUACAAUCCUACGGUCCCGAUUGUUCCUCCUAGAAGCUAUGCAAAAGAGGUUCCUUUUAAAAUUACUUCAUUUCUUUCUUUCUUUCUUUGGACAAUGUGCUAGUGCACCAGCUAUAGGCCAUUUUAAAACAGACCCUUUUGACUUGAGAAAUGCUACACCCUCCAUCGUAAAAUUUAAAAACUCUUAAAAUUUUUAGUAUUUAAAAAAUGACAAAUUAAGAAUUUAAAAUAAGUUUUUAAAUGAAUGGAGUGUUAAAUUUAUAUUUUUUUCUAGAGUCUUCCAGUAGCAUUGCUCUUACAUUAUAGCAAUAGAUAGUGUUACAAGUACUGCAACUUCUGUAUAGUGGUACAACAUUUAUUAUCAAUCAAGAAAGAAAAACUGGAUGCAACAUUUUUCAAAUGCACCUUGCUAACUUUAAAUGAUCAAAUUCAAUGACUUUGAAAGAUGGUCGAGACUCGGGCAAGUGCCAUAACACACUGAAUAGCAGUAUUGGGCAAGUGCCAUAACACACUGAAUAUUAGCCUCUAAACAUCUCAUUUUUUUUGUCUCUUUUCUCCUUUCAUCUUCACUACAUCUCAUUUUUUUGUCUCUUUUCUCCUUUCAUCUUCACUGGCAUAGCAUUUCCGCGAAAAUAAUUACCAUUCAUCGAUUACAAGUUGGCUGAAGAAGAUGUUAUACUAACUCACACAAUACAAUAUGGAUACAAAUUUUUUCCCUAAAUAAAAGGAAUUCCCCACUUGAUGACCAUAUUGUUACCACAAUUGCUCAAACAUUACUUUUCAGAAGCCUUCCUCCUCAUAUUGCUUGCAGUAAUUAGUUGGUAAUGUGAUGGCGGCAUAUCGCUCGUCUUUCCAAACUGUUUCUCGUAGUAUUCCCACAACUCAGACCUAAUUUAAAAGCAAAAAGGACACGCAUGAAGGAUCAGAUAACGCCUGUUCUCUGAUGUAGAUACAAAACUUAAUCGCCAUUAGUUUAAAUUGCGUACCAGUAUGCCAAGAACUGGUACGGGGCAUACUUCCCGUAGAUUGCGUCAAUGUCCUUCUGAACAGAUUGUACAGCGCAACUUCUCCGAUGAAACUGCAAGAGAAUUUUAAAAUCGUUAGCGUAUUUGUUCCUGAAAAUCAUGUAGCGGUCGGUAAAAUGGACCUGUUUUAAAUGCCUAAUUGUUUCAGAAUCAGCUGGAAUUUUGUGGUAGAACCCCAUGCACAUGAGGACGUUGGCGCGCGUGAAAGGACCAAAGCCCGAGAGACGUGAGAGCUCCUCAUCCAAUUUGUCAUACGAGGAUAGCGUAUACCCUUUGCAUAAAUCUUCGAGCUUCUUAAUCUCUAACUUCCCCUCCACUAUACUUUUGGCAAGAGAUAUAAUACGCUGCGCACGAUAUCCAAGUUUACAGCGUUUUGCCAAGUAAUCUGCAUCGAGAUGGGCAAGUUCUUCCGGACUCGGAAAAUCUCCAAUCUGAUCAAUGGUGAUGGAAGCAUCACUUGCACUGUUAAUUGGGAGUUCGGAAUUUGCAAAUGAAUAGACGCUCAAGGGCUUCGGGUCGACGUCAUUCACCAACUCCACUUCAUUUUCUGCAAGCUUGGUUUCUAAUUUCAUUGCCGCAUCAUGUUCCGUUCCACGCUUUCUUUUGACUUCUUUUGGUUGAGGGGUUUUUGGUUGAAAAAGCUCCAUAGGUUUAGAGCCAUUAAGUUCCAGUUGAAGCUCGCAAAGUGCUCUAGCCAUUGACAAUGAUCUUGGCCACCUGCAAAGAUUUAUAGGAGAUUUAUAGACAGAAUUAAGAUUUACUUUUCAAUUUAGUUUCAAUUCUUCCCAAUUUUUUGUUCAGCAUACAUGAUAGACGAAACCAAUUGUAACUUUGUGCAAUCUGUUUUAAACUCCAGCAAUUCUAUCAUUCAAUACAAGGAUUUAAGUGACCAUCGAAACAUGUCGUAUCUACCAUGCCAAUAAGAUAUCGACACGAUACAAAACCCUCUAUUUUUAAAAUUAGUAAAUAAUUUUCUCAAAGCAAUUCAAAAGAUUUGAUAAAGAUAAGUAAUAAACAAUUAUAAUAUUUUAUUGCUAAAAAAAUAAAUAUUUCAUAUCAUUAUGUGUCGGCACACAAUGAAUUUUUAUGACCAACACGUAUUGUGUCAUACUGUUUCGACAAAUUUUCGGCAUGAUCUCGUGCCGCUGCGUUUAAAUCCUUGAUUCAAUAUACAUGCACCAACUACGGCCUUACAUCAAGGAUUUAAGUGUCAUAGCACAGAAUUGUGCCGGAAACUUGUUGGCACGGUACGACACUGUGCAUGCCAAACCGUGUCGGUGCGUGCCGGUUACAAAAAAUUCAUAUGUGCCGACACAUAAUAACAUGAAAAUAUUUAUUUUUUUUAGCAACAAAAUAUUCUAAUUAUUAUCAUGUAUUUUUAUUAAAAUUUUUGAACUUUAUUAAGAAAACUACUUGCUAACUUAAAAGAAGAUAGGGUUUUGAGCUGUGUCAUCGGUAUGAGGAUUGUAUAGUGUCGAUAUUUUAUUUGCACGAUACGGGGCGCACGAUACAUACAAUCCGUGCUGAUACACACUUAAACCCUUGCCUUGCAUCUUCCUACUAAAAGAAGUAGAGCGGGAGUUAUAUAACGAUUUCAAGCAGCGAAGAAAGAAGAAAGAAGGAUGACUCAACUGGCAAUUGCAGAGGAGGAUGCACUUGACCAUGUCCUCGAAGAGUGUCGGAGACCGGAAAACCCGGCCGAAGCCGCUCGCCCGAGCCCCCUCGUGGAGGUCGUGGAACUCCCUGAUCACCCGCUCGUUCUCGCCCGAUAUCCGGAGCAUCCGCCGCACCUGGCCCUGCAAAUCCGACCCACGAUCAGCAUUUCCAACUCCAGCGGAGAGAUCAGAGAGAGAAUAUAUGGACUCGGAGUUAGGGUUAGGGUUAGGGUUAGGGUUAGGGUUAGGGCACCGAGAUUGAGAGCAGGUCUUGGGGGGAGAGGGGGUGGUCGGGGGCGAGGACGGAGAGGAGGAGGAGGGGGCGGGAAGGGUGGGGAGAUGCGGACGGGGAGGGAGAGGUGGGGAGAGGAGGAGGAGGAGGAGGAGGAGGAGAGGCGGAGAGGGCGGGUGAGGGUUUUGGAGAGUGGGUCCCAGCGGUUGGGGGCCAUCAUGAACAGCCCGUGGCUGCACACCGCCCUCUCCAGGUCGAAGCUGCUGCUGCCGGCAGCCGUCGCCGACUCCUCCUCCUCCUUCGCCGGCAGCUCCAAAACCACGCAUCGCUGCCCGCCGCCGCCGCCGACAACUUCUCCGCCCAUUUUCUCCCUCUCCCUUUUUUUGCAAGAUUUUUUCUGGCGAAACUCACGCUUGGCUCCGGCGAGGAAGGGACCAAAUUAGAUUAAUAUAUAUUAAUUCAAGGUGAAGUUUUAUGUAAGGCUAAAAUAUAAAAAAUAAAUAAUUUUUUAUUUUUUUUAUUUUUUUGCCUUUACAAUGUUUAUAGUUUAUAUUUUCAAUUUUACGAAAUAAUUUUAGAGAUUAUGGUGUAAUGGAGAAACCGAAAUAAUCUGAAUCUGACAAAAUAAUUUUAAUAAUUUUUAAGACUAUUUUUAUUAUAGUUUCUAAAAAAUUGACAAAAAGUUGACGAAACCCAACGGUACGGACAAUAUGCAUUAAUUUAAAAUUUUGAAAAAAUAUAAUAUAAAUUUUUGAAAGCACGAAAGGAAAAGUAAAAAGUGAUUAUUUACAUAAUAUUUUUCGUAUUUUAGCCUUUAUUUAACUUAUAAGAGAAAUUUUCUUCACCUUACAACUUGAAGGUUCACUAAAUUAGCUGCAACUUUGUCAUUUUGUUUUAAAAUGUAUAAAAUUAAAGAAAGCGACAUGAUUGAAAUAGAUUUAAAUUCAGCUACUUAUUUAAUAUAAAUUAAAAUUUAGUUCCCUAAACAAAAUUUGGCCUUUGAAAUAUAUAUAUAUAUAUAUAUAUAUAUAUAUAUAUAUAUAUAUAUAUAUAUAUAUAUUGCUGUCAAAUUUUUAUCUUUUUAUUACUUUGCGAAACAAACAUCUUGCAUACAAUAAUCUUAAGCAGUCCACCAUUUAUGAAAAUUUUAUGACGCCAAAAAUAAUUAUUUAUGUCAUAAGCACUUCAGACAAGGAUAGACAAGGAAAGUACUGACAAGGAAAAGUCAUCCUACCAACACCAUUUUGUUGACGCAAGUAAUGAACUUUAGGGGAAAAUUUUCAACUAAGAAAGCAAAAGAAAAGUAUCAUUGACUGAAGAAGAUGUGCCAAAUCUGAAAUUGCAACCACUGAAGAAUUAAGGCAUACAUUUAACAUCAGAAAACAAAAAAAAAAAAAAAUGAAGAAAACAGUACAAAGUUUUACACCACCUGAGAUGCUUCAAUUAGCUAUAUAACCUCAAGAACUGGAGAAACUAAAAUAAGGAACAGGAUUAGUAAUACAUAAACAGCAAAAUACAAAAAGGCUACAGCCAUUUGGUCAGAAUGUGAUAUCAAAUAUAUUACUAUCUGGUAACAUAGAUGGUCUAGACAGGGAAUGUAAUAAGCUUUUAUCAUAUAAUUGAGCCGAAGAGAGUGGGAAACAGCACUGAAAAACUGAUGCUUUCAUAGUCAAGUGGAUCAAUUAAAGAAAUCUCCCAAUGCAAGCACCUAAUUUUAGGAAUACAAGGAAAUUGCAUAUAUUCUUAGCCUGCUAAUGGUUUGUCUGUAAAGAUUUUGAUAAACAGAAGAGCAUUCUAUGCAGAAUGUUUUUUCUGUCUGUUCUUUGAUAAUCGCCUCGGUAUAGAGUUUUCCUUACCAAGAGUAUGCUUACUGGUAUACACUGCAGCAGUCCAUCAGUAGCAGAUGUCAACUUAUCUUUGCUUUUACGCCGAUCCAUAAGCAGCUCAGGCUUGAAAAAGCGAGUCCAUGAUCCUCAGUUUCUCCUCUUAUCUUCUUCAUCUUCAGUUUUUAACUACCAUAUUUCUUCAGCAAGAUAAAAUAACAGUUAAUUUGUAGGUUCUUGUUACUGUUUAUUCUUUCUUCUGUUGUCCUCAUAACAAAUUCGAGAAAUGAUUGUUAAAGAUCCAAUAAGCUAAGCCUAUCUACUACUUUGAUCACGAAGCAUGUUGCAUUAUUUGAGCCUAAUCUGAAACCGACUGCAUGCCGAGACAUCAUACAUCGACUUAUCACUUUUGUGUUUCUUCUCUUGGUUGCCAGGUAAACAAAAACUUUUGAGGUGUUGAAAGUCGAGAUUCAUCCUCAUAAUAUCAAAUUGAUCUAACAUGCCAAUGCUAGAUUUUAUAGUCAUGGGAUUAUUAUAGAGCCUCUUUUCAUAAGAAACAAGAGAAGACUAUGACCAAGAACAUACCGUACCUCAUAGACUUGUCCAUGUGAGUUAAAUGUUUGGGUUUUUCUUGCUUUUUCACGAGAAAUUUUUGGCGAUAAUACCUAAAAAAGGACAGAUUCCAUAAACGAGCAUCUCAAGUAAUUCUGUUUUUCGCAUUGCUUACAUGAGGCUCCAUAUUAAAUCACCACUCAAUGCAAAGAACCUAGAACGAACCGUUUGUCAUAUCAUGCAAGAAAAGAAUCUUAAUAUGGAUGCCUUCAUGGUGUUCUCCAGUCAGGGCACGGCGCUAUCCAAUCUAUAAGGGUCAAUCAGGUAAAUCGAAGUUCUAAAAAAGGGUACUGAAUGGGUACUCAAUACAAUCUUUACGGAGAAUCAAACAAGAUCAUGUGAGUCUCCAUGUUCGCUAAAAACCUAUGAACUUUCCUAGGAAUCUCCUUCACCUGGUUCAAAGCAUCAUAUAGAUAUUACUAUCUUUUGUCAAGCAUACAUCUAUAUCCGAACAAAACUUUCGGUUCCAAUCCCCUAUGCUUCAGGAAGAUCGAAUAUAUGAAAUGCGAGAUAAGAAGGGUGUGUGAAGCACGAAUUCCAGUUCUACAUGCAACAUUUGUAUCAUUCAAUUUAGAUAACAAAAAAGCCCUUUUUCUGGGCCUAGAUUGAAAUUACCAUCGCUACAAUCGGGAGAACUCGUCGAGCUGUUUCCCAAAUGUAAAUAGUUUAAUUGAACAGUAAUGAUAACACAAACAUAGGUAGAUUUGAAAGAACUGGGUGUAUCUAAACAAGAUCUACAGCUCAACUCGAUAUUUUCUCAAACAGGACUGUUCUUACUGUUUGAUUCCUCCUCAAGAACGGCAGCGAAUUCUUGUCAUCGCAAACGGAUCGUGCAAGAUGGACCGUUCUCGCCCUGCUGAUGAUAGAUCUCUGGCCGCUGACGAAACUGCUGUCUGCCAUGAGUUCCAUCAGAUUCCUACUUUCCCUUGUGCCGGCUUCGGAGAACACCUUCGCAUUCCUUGACGGGCGGGAUCCCUUCGCCGCGGCGGAAGGCGGCUUCUUGGCGAAAAUCAGGGUUUCCUCGUCCUCGUCCUCGUCCUCCUCCUUCUCCUUCUCCUCCUCGACAGCGGCGGCACUGGCAGAGGGCUCGGGCUCUUCAAUUUCGUCUUCGUUGAUAAAUCGCAAUUCGGAAUUGAGGCCGCCGUGGGGCCUCAGCUUCGAAAUGGCGCCGCCCUGGGUGUCGACGACGGAGCAGGGAUUACCGACGACGAGGCCGUUCCAGGCGCGGGACGGCAGGGUCCUGCUGAGCGCCUUGAGCUGGUCGACCACCUGGUCCAUGGAGGGCCGGCGCUCCCUGCAGGAGCGCACGCAGCUCGCCGCGAGCCCCGCGAGGCGGCGCCGCGCGGCGGGGUCUCGGGGCGGGGGGAUGCGGGGAUCGAAGAGCGCCGCGACCUUCCCCUUGCGGAGGAGCGGGACGGCCCACUCGACGACGGAGGGCGGGGAGUGGGCGACGUCGAUGGCCUUGCGGCCGCUCAUGAUCUCGAGGAGCAGGAUUCCGAAGCUGAAGACGUCGGUCUUGGUGCUGAGGCUGUCGGGCGUGACGUAGGAGGGGUCGAGGUAGCCGAGAGUGCCGGCUGGAGGGGUAGAGCCGGCAGCGGAGGCGGAGGCGGAGGCGGAGGCGGCGGCGGCGGCGGUUCCGCCGGAGCCGAAGUCGCCGAGGCGGGCGUCGAGGUUGCGGUCGAGGAGGACGUUGGCGGACUUGACGUCGCGGUGGAUGACGGGCGGGCGGGCGGAGUGGAGCGUCAGCAGCGCCUUGGCGGUCUGCAGCGCCAGCCGCAUCCGGCGGGCCCAGCCGGGCGGGCGGGGGUUGGAGUGCAGCAGGUCGUACAAGGUCCCGUUCGGCAUGUACUCCAUCACCAGCACCACCUCCCGCCCGCCCCCGCCCCCGCCCCCGUCGGAGGCGGAGAAGCCGAGGAGGUUGACGAGGCGGGGGCCGCGGAGGGACGAGAGGAUGUCGAUCUCGUUCUCCACCUCGUCGCGCGCGGCCGCGGGAGCGGGCGGAGAAGGGGGGCGGCGGCGCGAGGGGCGCUUGACGGCGACUGGGCGGGCGAAGCCGCGGAGGACGGCCUUGUAGACGGCGCCGUGGCUGCCGCGGCCGAGGAGGACGGACUCGGAGAAGUUCGACGUCGCCGCCUCCACCUCCGCGUAGCUGAACCUGCGGAUCGAGCAGCCGGCAGCAGCAGCGACAGCAGAUAAACACUUCUUACCGCCAUCAUCAUCGCUCAAGACAGCUCCAUCAGAUAGAUCGGCCGCGGAAGCAGAUUUAGAUUUAGAUUUAGAUUUAGAUUUAGAAGAGGUGAAAUUCCUGCGUUUAUGGGGUUGGACGGGGACGAUGGAGGAGAUGGAGCGGCACGUCGCGAUGGAGGAGUCGGCCCGGCAAGAAAGGUAGCCCAUUAUUCUUAGGAAAUUUAUUCUUCCGACUCACCAAAAUUUGAAUUCGCCGAAUUAAAAUGGAGGAGGAAGAAGAAGCGUCGGUGGUGGUGGUGGUGGUGGUGGUGGUGGUGGGAGUGAGCUGAGAAGGGUGGGUUGUUUUGGCGAAUGGGAUUGUUAUUAGAUGCGCAUUUAUAGAUCCAGGUAAAUUAGAACAAGCUCAAGGGGACUGUUUUCUUAUUAGACGGCGUUGAGAUGAUAUAAUAAUAUUAAUUAUUAAUUUUCUCGGGUGGGGGGCGAAGGAAAAUGGGGCGCCGAUCGAGCAUUUGGCCAUUUGGGGGCUUUUUCUUUUUUAAUUAAACUUUUUAUUUAUAUAUUUAAGAUUAAAAUGUGUGUAGUGGAACAGUGAACGGGGGUGCUUUUAUUGGGCUUAAUUGAGGGGCGAGGCGAGGGAGUUUUGUUUAAAAUAAUAUUACACAAAAUAAUAAUAUUGAAUAAUAUAUUUUUUAAUUUUAAAUUAAUUCAUAUAAUUUUAGAAUGUUUAUCAUUUUAGUAAUAUAUUUGUGAGGGCAACUUCAUCCUUAAAUGGGUGAGGUAUAUAAUUCAUACUCAAUUUGAAAUGUAUGAGUUAUAUUGUUCUUACUACUUAGUUGAAGAAAAAGCUAAAAUAUAUCAAAUUUUACUAUUGUGAAUUAGUGAUAUGGGCCUUUCAGGGUUGAGUGAGUGGUUUGUUGAAUAGUAUAAUUUAACAGAUAUAAAUAAUUAAAGAAUUAAAUUUAAUGAUAAAAAAUUCGAUAGUACCAAAUUCUUAAUGCUAUCGUAUUCCAGCCGGACUCUAUAUAUAUAUUUAUAUAAAAUAUUCUAAAGUUUAGAGAAAAAAAAGAAAAACAAGUGUUAUUCCAUCUUUAUGGAAGUACAUUUUCACCUGUCCCGUAUGAUUCUGCACUGUUUCUAGCUCAGUCCAUAUUUUUUUUUCCAAAAAAAAUAUAAGAACAGCAACAACUUAUGCGAUACCAGUGUGAUAUUCUUUCUAAUAAUAACAUCUAGAGUUCUAAUUUAAUCGAUCAUUGAUUAGCUUAAUAGUUGUUUCCUAAGCUGUCGCCUCAGAUGUCGGAAGAUGAUUCCCGUUUUGUAUUCUUCACAAACAUAGUCUUGUUACUCGAGUUUAGACCAAAUAAAUAACUUCUUCGAGUGAUAUAACCCACCACUCGUCUAGAUUAAAAAUAAAGUUUAAAAAGAAUUUAAAUUUUUUGUGGGCCUAUUUGAGAACGUGCUACAGUUGAGAGGUCCUUGGUACAAAUUUACCAUAAAUUAAUGAACAAAAAGUGGAUAAGAAGAGGAAGCAACGCAUCUUUGCUGGCGUGUUAGGGACUACACUAGUUGACUCAAAAUGAAAAUGGUCUCUUGAAUUAAUUUUACUGUUGAUUCACAUUUCUAGCUAAGUUUAUUUUUUUAAUAAAAUAAAUAAAACGGAUAAAAUGUUACCUAUCUCUCAAAAAAAAACUUCGCCGUUGAGUACCACCUGUUUUCAGCUUCUCUCUCUUAUCGGAUCCGCUGAUUUAUUGGCCCGCAGACCGGCCCCACUUAUAUCAUCCAUUCAAAGGCUUUUUUCUUUUACAUUUAGACCUCUCAAAAUUAUUCCUAAUAAAUUUAUAUUUGUAUAAAUAGCUCUUUUGUUGCCAGCGAGCGCUUAGAUAGCAUUUUUAAGUUGAACUUUUUUUAUUUUUAACAUUCCUAAUUUGAAAUGGAGGUACUAGAAUGCGGAUAUAAACAAGAUGAUUCAAUCGCCGUACUCAAUUUAAAAAUAUCAACAUAAUGCUUGCAUGGCGAAAAGAGGGUUAUAUAUACAAAGGGUAAAUUGCACUGUUAUCCCUUGAAUUUUUGGCGAAGUUUCACUUUACCCCUCGAACUUCUAAAAUGCACAUCUAACCCUCUAAACUCUAAUAUUUCAUUCAUGUUACCCCUUCUGUCAGUUUUCCGUCAAACUCCGUUAACCGGAAACUGACGAAAGGGAUAAAACGAAUGAAAUAUUAGAGUUUAGGGUGUUAGAUAUCUAUUUUAGAAGUUUAGGGGGUUAAGUGAAACUCGCCAAAAGUUCAGAAAGUAGUAGUGCAAUUUACUCCUUAGGGGACUCUUGACUAUAAAUUUUUAUUAUAAUAUGUUACUUAUGGAUUAACUAUUAAUUCUCAAGUUAGUAAUCAUACUUGAUUUUUAAUUUAUAUAUAUUUUUUAUCCUAAAAUAAAUCAUACCAUAAUUUAUCUUACAUUUUAUUGUAAUAAAAUAAAAAUGAAAGAAAUGAAUUAGAGUGGCUUAAAGAUAAAAAAAAAGCGAUACUAACUAUCUACGAUGCUCGAACACUCAACUAUCCUAAUGUACUCACUAAUAUAGUUGAUUUACAAUAGGUGUCCUCACUCGGAUAUAGAAAUUUUAGUUCUCAGUUAAUUUUCUGUAGUACUCGUUUGUCCCUUUUAUCUUUAAAAGUAUUGUUCUAUAAAAUAUAUUUAAAUUAAAAUUUUAUACUUCAUUUCAGCCAAUUAGAAAUUUUUAAUAUAAAAAUAUAAAAAUAAUUUAUAGUAAAAAUUUGGGUAAAUUGUAUUGUUACCCCCUAAACUUUUGGCGAGUUUCACUUAAUCCUCCAGACUCCUAAAAUAGACAUCUAACACCCUAAACUCUAAUAUUUCAUUCGUUUUAUCCCUUCCGUCAAUUUCCGGUUAACGGAGCUUGACGGAAAACUGACGGAAGGGGUGAUAUGAACAGAAUAUUAAAAUUUAGGGGGUUAGAUGUCCAUUUUAGAAGUUUAAGAGGUAAAGUAAAACUUCACCAAAAGUUCAGGGAGUAACAAUACA